UACGGGGGGAGCAAGCGUUGUUCGGAUUUACUGGGCGUAAAGGGCGCGUAGGCGGUCAGCACAAGUCAGUUGUGAAAUCUCCGGGCUUAACUCGGAAAGGUCAACUGAUACUGUGCGACUAGAGUGCAGAAGGGGCAACUGGAAUUCUCGGUGUAGCGGUGAAAUGCGUAGAUAUCGAGAGGAACACCUGCGGCGAAGGCGGCUACCUGGACCGGUUCUGACGCUGAGGCGCGAAAGCGUGGGUAGCAAACAGG
rnacentral:rRNA from 1 species